GUCUGCAUAGCCCGUCUACCGGAGCAGCAGGGUGACUAGACUCAGGGGAGGAGACUCGUGUUUGUACUGGACUGCAUUUACUGUUAUGAAUGAGUUGAUAGAUGUGAAACUGAAGAGCAAAUUGAGGUAAAACUGCAUACAUGAGGUUAUUUGGAGCAGUUUGCAUGUGCACCUGUGUUAACUAUACACACACAAACUGUGUGCUUUGUGUUCUGCAAAA